UACGGAGGGGGCUAGCGUUGUUCGGAAUUACUGGGCGUAAAGCGCUCGUAGGCGGCUUUGUAAGUUAGAGGUGAAAGCCUGGAGCUCAACUCCAGAAUUGCCUUUAAGACUGCAUCGCUUGAAUCCAGGAGAGGUGAGUGGAAUUCCGAGUGUAGAGGUGAAAUUCGUAGAUAUUCGGAAGAACACCAGUGGCGAAGGCGGCUCACUGGACUGGUAUUGACGCUGAGGUGCGAAAGCGUGGGGAGCAAACAGG
rnacentral:rRNA from 1 species